rnacentral:lncRNA from 1 species
CCCCUUUGCUUCAUCCCUCAAUGACAUUGCUCAGCGUCCGCAUCUCCCAUUCUCUCAGGCCUCCCUUUAAAUCAACUCAUGCUAACCUACUCAACUCUUCACUCUCUCACCUCGCCUUCUACGCUAUAUAUUUUUCAACACUCCAUGCUACUCUCCCCAACUCUCUGUUCUCCCUUACCUAUCAUCUUAAAUGGCCUCAAAUUUUUAAAAGGGAACAUGGGCAAUUUACAUUCAAAUGCAAGUAUUCAUUACUAUGUUAUA